GGCCGCGGAGGCGGAGCUGUUUCCCAAGUUUUCUGAGUUUCAGAGGUGGAGGCUGUUACUCUCUCUGCUGCCCCAUGGAUGGCAGGCGGUGGUUCGCGGUGGGCGUGGGGGUCCGCGGCUUCCGGCUCGUUUUGUAAAGAUUGAGGGACCACAAAGGAACCCUUAGAAUGUGAAGUCAUAAACAACAUUUCUAGCAACAGAUUCAUAUUUAUGGCAUGCUGGUCGACUGUGAGGCAAUGGCUUGGCUACAGAUCAGUUCUGGAGGAACCUGGGAGACUGAAGACAUAACGGGUGCAACAGCUGGAGUUGAGGUGGCCUGACUAGAAGCUUCCAUGGACCCUUGAUCACUGCUUGAGGAGAAUUGCCCUGUGGGUGUGAUGACCAACGACU